UGAGAUUAUGACAUUAUUGUGAAUAGUGACCGUUUUUCUCUAGCCAAAUGAAGAAGGCUUCCAAAACUCCAAGGUCGGUCCGACUUGUGAAUUCUCCUCCGUUGUGUCUAGUUAUUGAGCUUCGUAGAUAUAUUUUCGGGUUUAGUUAUACUCUUAAAUCUAGAUUUUUAAGAUUUAUCUCUGUGGUUUUAGGUCAGGAUCAGAUUUAGCAAUAGCAUAGAUUGGCUAGGAUUUUGGUGCUUUGUGUCUUAGCUAGCAGGUUUUCUCCUUUUAUUGGCAGAGUUUACUUUAGAUUCUCACUGCCUCGAACUUUUGCCUUUCUCUGUCAAAUGAGAAUGACUCUAGUUGAUUUGAAUCAAAUUCGUUGAUCAAGAUCUGAUAUGUUCUGAAAACUUCUUUCACCGCAUCUGCAAGAUAGUGAAGAACUUUUCGAAGUUAUGCCUUGCUGGAUUAUGAAGCUAGGGAACCCACGAUGCAAGGAGGAUCUGCUAUUAAUAGUUUGGCCAGUUCAUGGCAUCUUCGACCAAUGUUCUCCAGAGGUAGGUAUGAUGUGAAUCAUUAGUUGCCGGCAAAAGCUAUCCUUGUGGACUCUGUCACAAAUGUUCUAUUGCUUUCUAUUUAUGUUGAUUUAUGCUAUGUUUGCCUUAAAUGUUUUGACUGUAGUCAGUGGCGGAUCUAGAACAUUUUUUGUUAAGAACAUUUUCAAUAAAAUACAUAUUUUUUUAAAUAAAAAGGGAUACUUUUUUAUAAACUUAUUUAAAUAUCAUACUAAAUCAGUUUUCUUAAGGUUUGUUUAUUAAAAAAAACAAAAAAAAAAAAGAUUAGGGGACAUAUGAUCCCGUACCGUCCUCUCUGCGUCCGCCCCUGAAUGUAGUGUUUUUUAGGUUUUUUCAGUUUUGUAUGUCUUCUUUUCAUAAGGUUUUGUGUCUAAAAAAAUUCUUGUUUUUUUAUUGACUUUGUUUCCGAGGAUAUUAGCUUAUUUUGUUAGCUUUGUAUCUUUUAGUCUAACAUUCAACAUUUCAAUAAUUAAUAAGAAAUUAAACAAUACUUUCUUUAAAAAUCUAUUAUAUAAAAGUUAUUCAAGUGUCUUCAGCUGCUUGUCACAUCAGUACUGGAUCAGUACUGGAGAGAUUGACACAUGGCAUAUCAAAUUUUGGGGGAAAAAUGGAACUUUCACCAUACGUUUUUCAUUUUGCAAUCAAAGAACUUCAAUCCUCAAAAAAAUUUAAUCUAUGGCCGAUGAGUAUUAUCUAUCAUCUUUGAGGAAAUCAGUUAUGAUAGAGAUUGUGGAAAUUAAUCCAAUUUCGAAAAACACUAUUUAUGUUCUUCCAUCUUGGUGUUUGUGCUGAAGAAAUCGACUUGCUGUGAGGAGCAAAAAGCAAAGAAGUUUGAAUCUCAGAUCUUUCCGCUUACUGACGUACUCAAUUAUUGAGGUAAUUGUUUACAUUUGUUUCUCGAUCUAUACUACUCUGUGAUAACUCAUCCCACUAUAUCUCGAUCUGAUUAAGGUAUAUGCUUUCCCUAAUUGAAUCUUCAUUCUUCAUUGGCUGAGUUUACUGCAAUUACAUGAUUUGUUUAUCCUUUACGUUUCACUGAGUCUUAAAUAGACCAAGACGGAAGCCUUGGUACUAUGGGAGGUGAAUCUAGAUAAUGGGUUCGUAGGCCUAUCCAUGUAAGGUUUUAGAUGGGAACAACAAGCUUCUUAAGGGCCAAUCAGACCUCUUCAAUAUGAACUUCAUGUGAAACCUCUAAGCUCCAUAAUGUGAAAUCAAUUCUGACAUAUAUUUCUUUUGUGCAUAUUAAAGAAAUGUGUUCUGCUUUAUGACUGUAAAUAAUCAAGGAUUUGAUUUGAGAUUGUAAAGGUAUACUUGCUAGGUUAAGAUAAUAUCAAAAAGAGUGUGUCCAUAGAGAAAUUGGUUUGGAUGUGAUGAGUGUUUAUAAUGGAAACGAAAAAACAUGUUUGUAG
rnacentral:lncRNA from 1 species